rnacentral:rRNA from 1 species
GACGAACGCUGGCGGCGUGCUUAACACAUGCAAGUCGAACGGUGAACGAGGGAGCUUGCUCCCUCCGGAUCAGUGGCGAACGGGUGAGUAACACGUGAGCAAUCUGCCCCGAACUCUGGGAUAAGCGUUGGAAACGACGUCUAAUACCGGAUACGACGCGGGAGGGCAUCCUCUCCGCGUGGAAAGAACUUCGGUUCGGGAUGAGCUCGCGGCCUAUCAGCUUGUUGGUGAGGUAACGGCUCACCAAGGCGACGACGGGUAGCCGGCCUGAGAGGGUGACCGGCCACACUGGGACUGAGACACGGCCCAGACUCCUACGGGAGGCAGCAGCGGGGAAUAUUGCACAAUGGGCGCAAGCCUGAUGCAGCAACGCCGCGUGAGGGACGACGGCCUUCGGGUUGUAAACCUCUUUUAGCAGGGAAGAAGCGAAAGUGACGGUACCUGCAGAAAAAGCACCGGCUAACUACGUG